GAUGAACGCUAGCGGAAGGCUUAAUACAUGCAAGUCGAGCGGUAGGUGGCUUCGGCCAUUGAGAGCGGCGCACGGGUGAGUAACGCGUACAUGACCUGCCUGUCAGAAGGGGGAUAGCCCUGGGAAACUGGGAUUAAUACCCUAUGGUAUUGAUAUUAUGAAUGAUAUCAAUUAAAGUUGAGGCGCUGACAGAUGGAUGUGCGUCUGAUUAGCUAGUUGGUAGGGUAACGGCCUACCAAGGCGACGAUCAGUAGGGGGCGUGAGAGCGUGGUCCCCCCACACGGGUACUGAGACACGGACCCGACUCCUACGGGAGGCAGCAGUAAGGAAUAUUGGUCAAUGCCCGCAAGGGGUGAACCAGCCAUUCCGCGUGGAGGAUGAAGGCCCUAUGGGUUGUAAACUUCUUUUAGAUGGGAAGAAAUGCUAGAUGUAUCUGGUACUGACGGUACCAUCAGAAUAAGCACCGGCUAACUCCGUGCCAGCAGCCGCGGUGAACG
rnacentral:rRNA from 1 species